UGUCUCCUCCAUCCUCCUCCUUUGGUGGAUAUUUAGCGCGGUCUUAACCACCGCGCUUUUUUUU
rnacentral:ncRNA from 1 species